AAAAUUAUGAAAUUUCGAGUACGCAUUUCCACUAGCUGAUUAACGGGUAUCUGAUAGUUGGCGGGGGACUCGACUAUACAUUCGUUCUUGCUUUCGUUUCAUUUGUAUACCCUUGUUAUUCCUCGUAGACAGAAAAGUGUAUUCUAGUUUCGAUAAAAAGCAUGUAACAGAUAAAUGGAUGCUUUUCCGACCAACAGGAUCAAUAGCUUAGUCGAUCCGACCAUGUCAAACCGUAUGAACGUUGAGAUCUGAGGAAUGCUGCACAAGUUUGUAUAUUGAUGUUGCCUCGCCCACUUGCGUAAAGACGGAGAGGCAUGACCAAAGAGACAUGGCUGGACCAAUAUUACUACUGUGAGGACGCACCGUGAACUAACAGGACGUUUGUGGACCUUAGACCCGAGCAGACAAGUCGUCAUGGGGAGGACUCAAGGGCAGCCAGGUCAAACGAGAAAUAAUGGACCUUGAACCCCUGCAAAGCGGAGAGACCGUGAACUAACGGUACCGUGUAGUUGAUCACUGCAAGUGACGGAGCAGAGCAUCGCGGAGAUCCUCUCAGCGAGGAUACGGCGCCUUAUUAUCUUCGAAAGUUCUUAGUUGUCCGAUUCUUCGACAAGAAGAUUUUAUUAACAGAGAGAGAGAACGGCUUAAUGGCGCACUGCCAAGCCUGGGUUAGUUGUGAAUGCCAUGUUCCGAGUUAAAGAUGAAAACUAACCGCCAUAGAAGUGGACGUUAGCGAGAGUCGUUGAGCUGCUGCCUGAAAGAGAUGGAGUCGCCCGAGUUGCUGAGGCUGAGGACAACUACAAGAUUGACGAAGCGGGCCGUGAAGAAGCUGUGUCUGAUACCCCUUAAGGACGCUGUUGAUGAUGUGGGGUCACGCAGACGCCACCAGCACCUUAACCUAUGUCUAUAUUUAUGGCCAACAUUGGAGACACAAUUAUUCUGCGGCAGAUGCAGAUUAGCUGCGUGAGCAUAUAAGCUCUCCUCUCUCGAACUCUCUCUUGUACUCCCUUGCACCUACAUCUUUGGCUUAGCGUUCUGCUGUUCUCAAUGCAAUUAUUCGUUUCUCGCUGUCGUAACCUAUGCACGCGCAUUACUGCGAAACAUCGUCGGAAUUCGCUUCAAAACUAAAGUCAAACGGUACCGAGCUGGACCUUGGACCCCGACAAAGCAGAGAGACCGUGAACUAACGGUAACGCGCUGGAACUGGGAUUCGAGCCGGCCAAGGGCACAGUGGUCGAACGCUAACGGUGGAAAUGCACAAAGAGGACACACCGUGAACUAACGGUACAUGGACCUUGUGACCGAGAGCGCCGUGCGCAAAAGGGGAAAUAACGGGAUCCUUGCGGCCUAUAAAGGGACGGCGUAAGUGCAGCCCGCGGCAGUCAGUCACAACACACGAGGAAAGUCGCUACUGCGGUAGCGCGGUCGCACAGUCGGAACGGAGUCUGAAGGUGGAGGCGUAGAUUCAGCCAACCAGACCGCGCGUGAACGCGCGGUUAAGUAACGAAAGAAUAAACAGUGGAAGCGUCGGGCAGAAAAAGGCCCGCAGGAAGUGAAGAACGAGCACUGCAAGUGAAGAGUAAUCCUGGGAGUGGAGGAGAAGAUUCUGGCAUGUCUGAAAGGGUCAGUGGAGUCAAUGGUCAGCACAGGUUGUCCCAGGCCGAGAGUUGCCUCGCCCGUGGACGAUACACCCUGCCCCAUAACAUCCUAAUCCCGGCCGGGCCCAGUACAACGAAGGCAAGGCGUUACAGGAGAAACGCCGCAGGAGCAGCGAGAUCACCGAAGAAGUCACUGAUAAAACAGUAGAAUAAAUCGAUUAUAAUAAGAA